GCAGUGAGCUGAGAUCGCACCAUGCACUCCAGUCGGGGUGACAGAGUGAGACCCUGUCACAAAACAAACAACAAAAGUGGCUAGCCUGAAUUGAGAUGUCCCUCCUGUAUAAAAUAUACACUGAAUUUUGAAGAGAAUGCAACAAAAAUGGAAAAUAGCUUAUUACUGUUUUUGUAUUGACUAAGUGUUGAAAUGACAAAAGUUUUGGCUAUACUGGGUUAAACAGAUUAUGACAUUAAUUUUCUCUGUUUCUUUUUAUGUUUUUCAUGUGACCACUAAAAAGGGUAAAAUUUUGUAUGUGGCUCCUGUUACAUUUCCACUGGACAUCACUGGUCUAGAUAGAAAGGUGAAGAAAGUGAGUUUGUUGAAUGCCUCCUGUGAGCAUCAUUUCAAAUGCAAGGAUGAACGUGCAGUGCGCCCAGCAUCCAGAGGUGCUCAGACAGCAAGAGACGACAGACAUGUAAAGAGAACCACACUACUGUACAAUACUGGGGGAUGGCUGCACUACAGCAGGCAGGAGCUCUGCCAUCACUCACAGGCGCUGUGCACGGAGGCACGGGGAGGAUCUAUUGAAGCACUGGAGAAGGAGUCGGUGUUUGCCAGGGGUAUUUCAGGCCCGGGAAAGCGUGGAGGCACAAAGCAGGCAGGGCCUGCUGGGAACGACAGAACAGGUGCGCUGGAAGCCGUGUUGAGGCUACACUGGACAGGGUAUGGCCGGAAGCAAAGGGGCCCUGCUAAAUGCAGCUGCAAUGGCAGCAGAUGACUGGAGACACAUUUAGGAGGAGUUUGGCCUUGUUAAGUUUGAGAGUCAAGUAAGCAGCUGAAAAUACCACCAGAGCUUAGAAGCAAGUCUUGCACACACUGCCUCUAAAAUACAUCUGAAAUCUGACCAUCCAAACUACCAUCUCUCACCUGGGAUAUGGCUGUGGUUCCCUUACAGCUCCAUUCCCCAUACAGCAGCUAUGGGGAAUGUUUAAAACAUGAAUUGGCAUAUUGCUGCCCUUCAUGCUUCGAAACAAGGAUCCCAAGUCCAAACCUCCACUUACAGGAUCUACAUGAUCCAGCUCUUCGAACCUUCUCUCCCUCUGCUACAGACACGCUGGGCUUCUUUAUUCCUCAAACAUCCUAUACUUAGUUACUUAUCAAAGCGAAGCAGCACUGAAACCGGCCUGCAUGACCACAGCUGGGGCUUCAGCAUGGAUUCUGACUGGAGAGAAGGGCAGUGCCUGAAAGCAAGGGGUGUUGACGCCCAAGACUGUGGGUGCUCACUGGGGGCAGAUAAGCGCUGACAUCAUUAUGAGUGACCACCCGGCAAUUCAUGUUACUCAUAGAUAUGAUCUACUGGGAAGAAAGAUUUGUAAGAAAUCCUGCGAUAGGGACUUUGAGGGACUUCAAAUGCCUCCUGUUUCUUCUACUUUUUUUUUUUUUUUUGAGACAGGAUCUUGCUCUGUUGCCCAGGCUGGAGUGCAUUUCUUUUUUUCCAGGAAAUUACCUUCUCUAGGAUUGGGCAGAUAGCUCCACUUCCUCUUGGGGAAGGUCUUGAUUAUGUCGUAACAUAAACAUAACUAAAAUAAUGUUUCUCUUACCCAAGGCUGAAGGUAAUGGCAGUCCAAAGAUAUAAACAUGUGACCUUAGCCCAAAGAGAGUCUCUUAAAAUCAAAAUGAGAGUUCAUGCCAGCCAUUUUGGAAACAUUACAUAAUGUGAGUUACAUUUAUGUUUUUUAGAGACAUUUCAGUUUAAUUUUUCUGAGAGAAGAAAGAUAAUAAGAAGGUACAUUAAUGUUCCCUGACCCUAAUUCAUGAAAUAUGCACUGGCCUUCAAAGUCCCUGAUUUAGUUUCUCUUUAAAAAAUUACUUGUUCAUUGUCUCUUUCCCAUAAAAGGCAAGAAGAGGACAAGGGUGGGCACUAUCUCCACUACUAUUUAAUAUUGUACAUGUAAUUAUAGGCAAUUCAAUAAAAUAAGAAAAAUAAA